rnacentral:tRNA from 1 species
GGCGGUGUCGGUUAAUGGUAAGCCAGCGGUCUUAUAAACCGUUUAGCUCUAGAUUGGGGCAAAAUCAGAGUUCGACCCUCUGCGCCGCUA